rnacentral:rRNA from 1 species
GGGGGGGUUCAAUAUGAAGGCGGGGCUGGAAUCUCUCGGGGUUACAGGCCUUGCUGAAUUAUUCACCCUUGUCUUUUGCGUACUUCUUGUUUCCUUGGUGGGUUCGCCCACCACUAGGACAAACAUAAACCUUUUGUAAUUGCAAUCAGCGUCAGUAACAAAUUAAUAAUUACAACUUUCAACAACGGAUCUCUUGGUUCUGGCAUCGAUGAAGAACGCAGCGAAAUGCGAUAAGUAGUGUGAAUUGCAGAAUUCAGUGAAUCAUCGAAUCUUUGAACGCACAUUGCGCCCUUUGGUAUUCCAAAGGGCAUGCCUGUUCGAGCGUCAUUUGUACCCUCAAGCUUUGCUUGGUGUUGGGCGUCUUGUCUCUAGCUUUGCUGGAGACUCGCCUUAAAGUAAUUGGCAGCCGGCCUACUGGUUUCGGAGCGCAGCACAAGUCGCACUCUCUAUCAGCAAAGGUCUAGCAUCCAUUAAGCCUUUUUUCAACUUUUGACCUCGGAUCAGGUAGGGAUACCCGCUGAACUUAAGCAUAUCAAUAAGCGGAGGAA